ACUUGAUCCCGCGGUAGCAGCAGAGACAGCAAGCAGUCACGGGGGCCUAUAAGGUGCCUAAAACUGAAGGAGGGAAACCGUUAUGUCUGAUCAGGAGAGCUGUCUCCCAAGAGGAUGUGGUGAACCCCCAUUCCUAUUUUUCUCUCUCUUCCCUCCUGCUGCUUGGUCCCGGAUAUGGGUGCAGUUGUGGGAAGUACUGAAAGCCCCAUCUUUCUGGGGUCAGAGGCUAAAAGGUGAACCCCAGGGAAGAAAGAGUCAUGGGGAAAAUUUUGGAGAGAGCAUAGCUUGGGAAAACAACCCCAUAAGAUUAUUUAUAAAUUCCUAGGCUUACUCCCUAACUGUAAAGGAAUGAAUCUAACUCUAACUAAUAUACCAAAGAUUUUGAAAACUGAAUUGUGGGAUAGAACACUGUCCAGGUCCCAGAGUGGCCACCGAGUGGCACAUACAUGAGACAGAUCUGAAUAGCACUGCAGAGGCUUUGAAACUGAGCUGAAAUUGGAGCUACAACCCACAGAAGGCUGGUUGGGAUAUGCAGCCUGAACCCAAACAAGUUGAUUGCCUGUUAAAAAUAUCUACAUUGCCCAUAGGAUUUAACAUAGCCCAGAGUCUCCCAAAACAUCCAAGAUAAAAUCUAAAAUCACUCGGCAUAUACCAAGAACCCGAAAAACCUCAAAUUUCAUGGAAAAAGACAAACAACAGACUCCAAUGCCAUGAUGAUAAGUGUUGGAAUUAUCAAAGACUUUAAAGCAACUAUUAUUAAAAGGUUUCAAGAGGUAAGGAGAACACUCUGGAAAUGAGUGGAAAGACAGAAAGUCUCCACAGAGAAAUAGAAUAUAUAAAGAGGAAUCAAGUGGAAACUUUGACCUGAAAAAUAACCAAAAGAAAAAAUGCACACUAUGGGCUCAAAAGGAAAAUGAAAAUAAUAGUGUAAGUAGUGAACUUAUUGGUAGAUUCAUAAAAAUUAUCCAAUCCAAACAAUAAGGAAAAAAAUUAAGAAAAAAUAAUGAACAUAGAUAGCCUUUGGAAGCUGUAAGAAAAUACUAAAGGUUUAACAUUUGUCAUUGGAGUUCCAGAAGGAGAUGAGAAAGGGUCUGUUAUAGAAAAAUAUUUGAGGAAAUAAUGGCUAAAAAGUCCCAAAUUUGGCCAAAGACAUGAACUUACAGAUUUAAGAAGCUCAACGGAUCUUAAAUAGUAUAAACCCAAAGAAAUCUAUGCCCAGACACAUCACAAUUAAACUGCUAAAAACUAAAUACAAAGAAAAAAAUCUUGAGAGUAGCCAGAGAAAAGAUCACAUUACUUCUAGGAGAAUAGCAAUUUGAAUGUCAGCAAAUUCUCUUCAGAAAGUGCAGAAGCUGGAAGGAUGCGAAACAACAUUUUUUAAAGCACUGGAAGAAAAAACUGUUAACGCAAUCCUUUACUAAUGAGGGUAAAAUAAAGGCAUUACUAGACAAAGGAAAAGUAAGAGAAUUUACUGCCGGAAGACUUUUUUAUGACCUCAUUUUGUUAGAGUAGUUUUAGGUUUACAAUAAAAUUGAAAGGAAGGUAUAGAGAUUUUCCAUUUACCCCCCCUACCCCCACACAUGCAUAGCCUCCUUCACUCUCAACAUCACUCACAAAUUGGUACGUUUUUUUACCAAGGAUGAACCUACAUUAAUACACUGUAAUCAAGUCCAUAGUUAGUAUGUAAGGGUUCAUUUUUAAUGUUGUAUGUUCAGUGGGUUUGGAUUAAUGAAUUAUGAUAUAUGUCCAUUAUUAUAAUAUCACAUAGAGCAUUUUCACUGCCCUAAAAACCUUGUGUGUCUCUACUCACCUACCCCCUGAAAAUACCGAUCUUGGAGUUCCCAUCAUAUAGGAAUUCCCGUUAUGGCUCAGUGGUUAACGAACCUGACUAGUAUCCAUGAGGACGCGGGUUCGGUCCCCAACCUCGCUCACUGGGCUAAGGAUCUGGUGUCGCCUCGAGCUGCGAUGUAGGUGGCAGACGCAACUCAGAUUUGGUGUUGCUGUGGCUGUGGUGUAGGCCAGCGGCUACAGCUCCAAUCCGACCCCUAGCCUGGGAACCUCCAUACGCCGUGGGUGCGGCCCUAAAAAGACACACACACACACAAAAAAAAAAAAAAAAAAAAAAAAAGAAAGAAAGAAAGAAAAAGGAAAAAGAAAAACAAAUAUAGCCAGCCAGAAAAACAGAAGCAGGCCACUGUACAUAAGACUAGUGCUUUCCUCUCCUGCUGUCACCAAACAUCCUCCUCCUAGGAUGGAAAAACUGGGAUAGCAUUGUACAGAAGGCUGGGCUGUGGGCGGGAGAAUCCCAAGACAGGAGGUGAACCUUCCAAUUAGCAGGGGGAUGUUUAUGCAGGCACGAGGAGAUGUGGCAGCACGUAAUGCGGGAGUCCUCUAGCAUGUACAGUAUGAAGUAAAGGGUCAUGCGAAAGAGCAUCAAAGUGUAUAGUUUGCUCUAAUUUGAAAUCGGGGCAUGGACAAACCGACCUUUUCCUUUUUAACCAUCUACUGGUAUGUUGGGAGAUAAACAACAUCUAAAACUCUGGAGCUUUUAAUGGCUUCAUUGGAGGAAACAACUGUGCUUAGUUUUAGUGACCAGAGAUGAACUUGAAAUAGUUUCUAAGUAAAAAGUUGAUUUUUUGUUUUCAAUUUAAUCUUUCCUGAAUUGUUCGUUUUGGAUUUUAAGCCGUGCUGCUAUUGUGAUUUUUAAAGAUGUUAUUUUGGGUGAUGUUUGACCAUCUAAGGAAAUUAGUGC
rnacentral:lncRNA from 1 species